UACGUAGGGUGCGAGCGUUGUCCGGAUUUAUUGGGCGUAAAGCGCUCGCAGGCGGCUCGAUGCGUCGUGCGUGAAACACCCCGGCUCAACUGGGGAGGGUCGUGCGAUACGGUCGGGCUGGAGGCCAGUAGGGGGAUGCGGAAUUCCGGGUGUAGUGGUGGAAUGCGUAGAGAUCCGGAGGAACACCAGCGGCGAAGGCGGCAUCCUGGACUGGUCCUGACGCUCAGGAGCGAAAGCGUGGGGAGCGAUCCGG
rnacentral:rRNA from 1 species